GGAAGAGUGUAGAGGUAAAUACUGUUAGGGAUCCCACCCUGCACUGACUGGACUAGCCAUCACCGGGUUUGCCACCCUACGUAAUACGCACAGGUUCUGAUGAUUGGUAUGUGGGCACAUCUUUUGAGGGGGGUUGUCCCUCAACCCAGGAGAACCAUUGGAAAGAUGAGCAACAUGGAUGUUGAAACCAAUAAGAAUUAUGACUGUGAUAUUUGGAUGCACUAUUUAUUCUGGAACCCAACAACAGCUGCAGAAGUGUUGAGUGUGGAAGCAGAACAUGCGGAACGAACCCAGCUGUUAACUUAAAAUGCUUAUCAAAGAAAGUAUUGGCAUGUAGUUUAUGAAAUAAUAAAGUUUUUUUUCCCCCAACUGA